rnacentral:rRNA from 1 species
AACGUAGGGGGCCAGCGUUGCUCGGAAUUACUGGGCGUAAAGGGUCCGUAGGCGGUGUGGCAAGUCGGUAGUGAAAUCUCUGGGCUUAACCCAGAGGCUGCUGCCGAAACUGCCGUGCUAGAGUGUGAGAGAGGCGAGUGGAAUUACGGGUGUAGCGGUGAAAUGCGUAGAUAUCCGUAGGAACAUCCGAGGCGAAGGCGGCUCGCUGGAUCACAACUGACGCUGAGGGACGAAAGCUAGGGGAGCAAACAGG